UUAGGUGAGCUGUGAUUGACAGCUACUUUCACCUAUCAGGAAGGGGCAGUCCCUUUUUAAGCACUGAUUGGCUGCUGCCCGGAAUGCGUCAUGUCCUGUGUUUCCCCCGGGUGUUUGCAGCAAUAGCGACAGCGUGUUUGUCCAGCGUACUGGUGCCCUUGUGCUGCUGAUGGCUUAAAUGACUGUGCACCCUCAGUUGGCUGUGGUUGACCUGUUGUAGGUUAAACGGUGCUGUAAAAGACGUUAAUGUGUCUGGGGUGAUGCCACUGGGCGGGUUCUCCCUUUUGCUCUACAUUAUGUUUACCUCUUGAGUGUUCUCGUGCGGCUGUCGCACCGCGGUAAAACCGACAUCAUCAUAUUCCUCGCAGUACAAUGGAUUGUACACUGUCUGGUUCCUGCCUUUAGUGUUAUAUAUCUUGGAGUGGAGGGUUAUCUAGUCACUACCAAAGUCAACCAAGACAACCGAUUUUAGUGCGUUGGAGCUGGUUUUUUGGACUUUGGUUGCCUGUGUAGCUCCACCUGCCAUUUAUUUUGUGUUUUCUUUGCUUUCAGUAAUUCUUGUCAAAUUGUUGUCUGAAUAUUUAUUUUGUUUGAUAUCCUUUCAGGAGCUGGGGUCCCCCUGGGUGAAAGAGCUUAUGGUGGUGGUGGUACUGCUUCAACAUUUGCAGUGUUACACAUUUUUGAAGUGCAUAAGUGUGUGUUUUUGAGUUCACGGUUUGGUGUGAGUGUGUGCCUUUGGACAACUUGUGCCAGUGAUCACUCGGGUGGGUAACCUCAGCUCUGUAGGUUGGUGUAUUGUUUUAAUUAGUUUAUUAUCUUUCUUCCUUUUCACGCACUGCAUUUUAGCAGUGAGGACUGUUAAACCUUAAGUUGUGUUGUGUUUUUGUAUAAUUUUGUGAUUUGUGAUGUUUUAUGUCAUUUUGUUUUAUGUAUUUUGCUGCAGACAGAUCUGCUUUGAUUAAUGUCAUUUUCUGUCUAUUUCACACCUAGCUCAUUGUCAUGGGCAACGAAUAUUGUGAAAUAAAAUCUAUAUUUUUGUAUUAUACCCACGUUUUCUGCUUACUUCACUUUUAAGAGGAACGAACCUGUGUGCCUUACCGCCUUUCUGGGUGUAAGGAAUAUUUCCCUGGGUGUAAGUCCCGGGGUGGCGUAGUCGGAAUUUUAUGCAAAACCUUUGCUUUUGCCAUGAAGCUAACUUCUCACCCCCUCGU